rnacentral:rRNA from 1 species
CUUAGCAGAGAUGCUUUGGUGCCUUCGGGAACUCUGAGACAGGUGCUGCAUGGCUGUCGUCAGCUCGUGUUGUGAAAUGUUGGGUUAAGUCCCGCAACGAGCCGCAACCCUUAUCCUUUGUUGCCAGCGGUUAGGCCGGGAACUCAAAGGAGACUGCCAGUGAUAAACUGGAGGAAGGUGGGAUGACGUCAAGUCAUCAUGGCCCUUACGAGUAGGGCUACACACGUGCUACAAUGGCGCAUACAAAGAGAAGCGACCUCGCGAGAGCAAGCGGACCUCAUAAAGUGCGUCGUAGUCCGGAUUGGAGUCUGCAACUCGACUCCAUGAAGUCGGAAUCGCUAGUAAUCGUGGAUCAGAAUGCCACGGUGAAUACGUUCCCGGGCCUUGUACACACCGCCCGUCACACCAUGGGAGUGGGUUGCAAAAGAAGUAGGUAGCUUAACCUUCGGGAGGGCGCUUACCACUUUGUGAUUCAUGACUGGGGUGAAGUCGUAACAAGGUAAGCGUAGUGCU